rnacentral:misc_RNA from 1 species
UCAAACUUGGUCAUUUAGAGGAAGUAAAAGUCGUAACAAGGUUUCCGUAGGUGAACCUGCGGAAGGAUCAUUACUGAAAUAGAAGACCCACUCAGUUGGGCUUCAACAUUUCAUAUUCAAACACAAAUGUGCACUGUCUAGACGAACGCAUGCCCCUUUGAGGUUGCUACUAGUCUGGUUUUGUCUCAUUCACAAACACAAGUCAAUGCAUGUAUCUUUACAUAUACAAAAUAGAACUUUCAACAACGGAUCUCUUGGCUCCCGCAUCGAUGAAGAACGCAGC